rnacentral:rRNA from 1 species
AUUGAACGCUGGCGGCAGGCCUAACACAUGCAAGUCGAACGAGUGGCGGACGGGUGAGUAAUGUCUGGGAAACUGCCUGAUGGAGGGGGAUAACUACUGGAAACGGUAGCUAAUACCGCAUACCAUCAGAUGUGCCCAGAUGGGAUUAGCUAGUUGGUGGGGUAACUGCUCACCAAGGCGACGAUCCCUAGCUGGUCUGAGAGGAUGACCAGCCAAACUGGAAAUGAGAAACGGUCCAGACUACUACGGGAGGCAGCAGUGGGGAAUAUUGCACAAUGGGGGCAAGCCUGAUGCAGCCAUGCCGCGUGUAUGAAGAAGGCCUUCGGGUUGUAAAGUACUUUCAGCGGGGAGGCGUUACCCGCAGAAGAAGCACCGGCUAACUCCGUGCCAGCAGCCGGGGUAAUUC